UGCCCAGCAACUCCUAUCCCUACUUCCACGCGGUACCGGCCGGAAACUAUGAGCAACCUUAGGGAAGA
rnacentral:ribozyme from 1 species